rnacentral:rRNA from 1 species
UGGGAGGAAAGUAGGGGAUCGCAAGACCUUGCGCUCUUGGAGCGGCCGAUGUCUGAUUAGCUAGUUGGUGAGGUAAAGGCUUACCAAGGCGACGAUCAGUAGCUGGUCUGAGAGGACGACCAGCCACACUGGGACUGAGACACGGCCCAGACUCCUACGGGAGGCAGCAGUGGGGAAUUUUGGACAAUGGGGGAAACCCUGAUCCAGCCAUGCCGCGUGAGUGAAGAAGGCCUUCGGGUUGUAAAGCUCUUUCAGCCGGAACGAAACGGUCACGGCUAAUACCUGUGACUACUGACGGUACCGGAAGAAGAAGCACCGGCUAACUACGUGCCAGCAGCCGCGGUAAUACGUAGGGUGCAAGCGUUAAUCGGAAUUACUGGGCGUAAAGCGUGCGCAGGCGGUUUUGUAAGUCAGAUGUGAAUCCCCGGCUAAGCCUGG